GACGAACGCUGGCGGCGUGCCUAAUACAUGCAAGUCGAACGCAUUUUCUUUCACCGUAGCUUGCUACACCGAAAGAAAAUGAGUGGCGAACGGGUGAGUAACACGUGGGUAACCUGCCCAUCAGCGGGGGAUAACACUUGGAAACAGGUGCUAAUACCGCAUAAUUCCAUUUACUGCAUGGUAGAUGGAUGAAAGGCGCUUUUGCGUCACUGAUGGAUGGACCCGCGGUGCAUUAGCUAGUUGGUGGGGUAACGGCCUACCAAGGCUGCGAUGCAUAGCCGACCUGAGAGGGUGAUCGGCCACACUGGGACUGAGACACGGCCCAGACUCCUACGGGAGGCAGCAGUAGGGAAUCUUCGGCAAUGGACGCAAGUCUGACCGAGCAGCGCCGCGUGAGUGAAGAAGGUUUUCGGAUCGUAAAACUCUGUUGUUAGAAAAGAACAAGGAUGAGAGUGGAAAGUUCAUCCCUUGACGGUAUCUAACCAGAAAGCCACGGCUAACUACGUG
rnacentral:rRNA from 1 species